GGCCGCGUGGCGCAGUCGGUAGCGCUACUGAUGAGCAGCCAGGGGGUGUGGGUUCGAUUCCUCCCUCCCCCC